rnacentral:rRNA from 1 species
GAUGAACGCUGGCGGCGUGCCUAAUACAUGCAAGUCGAACGCUGAAGGAGGAGCUUGCUCUUCUGGAUGAGUUGCGAACGGGUGAGUAACGCGUAGGUAACCUGCCUGGUAGCGGGGGAUAACUAUUGGAAACGAUAGCUAAUACCGCAUGACAACAGUUAUUGCAUGAUAACUGUUUAAAAGUGGCAACUGCUCCACUACCAGAUGGACCUGCGUUGUAUUAGCUAGUUGGUGUGGUAACGGCUCACCAAGGCGACGAUACAUAGCCGGCCGGAGAGGGUGGUGGGCGAAACGGGGACUGGGACACGGCCCAGGCUCCAACGGGAGGCAGCAGUAGGGAGUCUUCGGCAAUGGACGGAAGGCUGACCGCGCAAGGCCGCGUGAGUGAAGAAGGUUGUCGGAUCGUAAAGCUCUGUUGUAAGAGAAGAACGAGUGUGAGAGUGGAAAGUUCACACUGUGACGGUAGCUUACCAGAAAGGGACGGCUAACUACGUG